rnacentral:rRNA from 1 species
UACAGAGGUCCCAAGCGUUGUUCGGAUUCACUGGGCGUAAAGGGUGCGUAGGCGGCUGGGUAAGUCUGUCGUGAAAUCUCCGAGCCUAACUCGGAAACUGCGUCGGAUACUAUUCAACUCGAGGAAUGGAGGGGAGACUGGAAUUCUCGGUGUAGCAGUGAAAUGCGUAGAUAUCGAGAGGAACACCAGUGGCGAAGGCGAGUCUCUGGACAUUUCCUGACGCUGAGGCACGAAAGCCAGGGGAGCAAACGGG